UACGUAGGGUGCGAGCGUUGUCCGGAAUUAUUGGGCGUAAAGAGCUCGUAGGCGGUCUGUCGCGUCGAUCGUGAAAACUUGGGGCUUAACCCUGAGCUUGCGGUCGAUACGGGCAUGACUGGAGUUCGGCAGGGGAGACUGGAAUUCCUGGUGUAGCGGUGAAAUGCGCAGAUAUCAGGAGGAACACCGGUGGCGAAGGCGGCGACCUGGGUAGAUACUGACGCUGAGGUGCGAAAGCGUGGGGAGCAAACAGG
rnacentral:rRNA from 1 species